rnacentral:lncRNA from 1 species
CAGUUCUUUGGGAGCACCCUGGGAAACAGUGUGGCUAUGACUUGGAGCUGCUCACCAGUUCCAGUCAUUCUGUGGUUGAGAGCUGCUCCCUAUGGAUGUUAAUUCUUCUCUAUUUUAGAUUUUCCACAGGUGUGGGCCCCAUUAGCUCUGGCCACCUGAGAAAGCCCUCAGGCAAAGAGUCGCAGGUGAAAGCCAGCAGUUAGAGGUUCACAGAAAUGAGUGCAGAAGCAUCUUCAGUUGGAGAGCCAUUGCCUCUUGCUGUGAAAUAUUUGGGAAUCUUCAGAAACCAUGAAGAAUAACCUGCUAAAGCUGAGCUGGGACUCUGCCUGGAUAUAACUUAUGGCCUAUUCUAUAUGGAAAGUUGGUUUUCUCACAGUUCCACUCCCUUUCCAGAUAUCAGCAAAUGGCCCUCCUAGCCCAGAAGUCUCCAGAGAGGUAUUUAUAAUAGUCAAAUUAGUGCAAAUUUAUAAUUCUUUAUCUUUAAACAUUUGGAAAUUGAAAUAAAAAUAGUUUCCCAGAG